ACCAGUGUUGAUAGGCUAAAGGCUACAGGCAAUGACAUCUAGUGAGAGUCACUGCUAAGCUCACCCUAGCAUGUUGUAAAGGGACAAACGUUUAAAUUGCUAACAGUACAUAACCAGCACAAUGAGAAACGUCUUGUAACAACGGCUACAUAAGCUAUUCAGGGCGAUGACGGAGGCUUUAAAAAACUUCACGAGUUUAACAGUGUGACCAGAUGUUCCAGUGACCGUCUCACGUUUGUAACAGUAAACAGUAGUUGUCAUUUCGAAGCGGUCACGGGAGCAGGCCAAAGCGUCUUUGGCAGUGAAUUGUGUGGAGGGAGUCGGGUCCCAUCUGUUCCCUGUCCACAGGGGAUGUUGGGUUAGCCAGCCAGUCUCCACCACCACCACCCUCCCCUCUCCCACCUCCAGUCCUCCUUAACACCCAGAGAGAGGAUAAUGAGAACAGGGAGAGGGUGCACCGCACAUCUCCGGGCAGCAUGCAUGUCUGGGCUCCCGCCUCGUCACGUCUCGUCCCCUCGGCUCCGUCAUAUGGACUCACGGCCUCAGCUGGCUGCAUGUCACCGAGAGCAGCUUGGGCGAGCUCUUCUGUAAACACCGUCUGAGUUGUGACAAAGAGGCCACCGUGCGUCGCCCCUCCCAGAUGACGUCUUUCAUUACCUCCCUGCACCUCUGACAAAAUGCCUGGGUCUUAUUCAGAUUUAGAUGAGGCAUCGAGUCAUUUAUUUUUGCAGCCUCGCUCUCGUUGUCUGGCGCGGCCUGCAGCCCACGGCGAUGCAGCGAGAGGCCGGAGGCUUCGAAAAACUUCAUGACUUUAACAGUUUGACCAGAUGUUCCAGUGACCGUCUCACGUUUGUAACAGAUGAGCUCGGGCGUUGCGCUCUCUGCUUUGCCAGGAGACGCUGAGACGCCCUCGGGGACACACCCACACAUGCACACGAGGAAGAGGAAAAACUCCUGAUGGACUCUCGCUGCCUGAAAAUGAAAUUCCGCUUCUCUCCGCCCGCAGAACACAAUGUGCAGACAUUUGCAUGUGUGAAUGAAAGUGUGUUCCCCCUUCUUAUGCUGUCUGAAUACUUCACAUUAUUGUGUGAUCCCUCUUUUCACCCCCUGCAAGAUUAGUGUCGCACAGAAUAUUUGUCUAAUUUUUCAAUAUCUGACACUGCUCUGCUCCACAUUCAUGUUUUUUUGGUGUUCGGAAGAUUACUUCCCAUCCCGCAAUCACGUUAAACAAAUGGCAGAAAUAGCCAGAAAACACCCGAGCUCGUUCCUUGAGGGGCAGACUGAAAUUAGAGUGUGUCAGAGGGUGAACAUGGUCCUUUUGGGACCCGGGUCCAGACUAUUAUUAGAGUAUUGAUUCAGACAGAAAAUGGACUGGCCUGGCACCGAGACUCUUUGCAGGAUAUUAUUUCACUCGUGAGAGUUUUAGGUUUUUUUUUUAAAAGUUUUUUUUAUUCCAAUUCAAAACUCCCAAUAGAAAGGUGGACGUCCUGUUCUGUAUUCAUCUUCUUCCUCCAUCUUCAUCGAGGAACCUCAAAAAAAUGAUGGAGGGGUCAUUAUAUCACCAAAUCUUGCUUUGGUGCCAGAUUUUGGUUUCAACUGUAUUGAAGUUUACAGGAGAGAAACGCCCUAAAACUCAACAUAUCCCAAAUGAAAUUCGGACUUGAAAAACGUGUCAAUUACAAAAUCAGAGUCAUUAACCUUCCUCUGGAGGCCUUUCAUCAUCAGAAGUCAAACACGGUAGCUAUGUUUGGUUUAAAUGUGUUUGUCCAUGCAUCUCCUCAUGACUUGAGUACAGCUGACACCACAGUCUGGCACCAAAGUGAGAUUCGGUGAUGUAAUUCACAUCACAUCCUUCAUUUUUUGGGUUCCUUGCCAGACCAGCAGCAGUCCUCAGACCUUCCUGAUGUUCCCCGGUCACAUGACCAUCCCCUGCCUACACACCUGCCCCUCCUUACUGCUAAUUAAUUACUCAUUAUA